rnacentral:rRNA from 1 species
AGUGAACGCUGGCGGUAGGCCUAACACAUGCAAGUCGAACGGCAGCACAGUAAGAGCUUGCUCUUACGGGUGGCGAGUGGCGGACGGGUGAGGAAUACAUCGGAAUCUACUUUUUCGUGGGGGUUAACGUAGGGAAACUUACGCUAAUACCGCAUACGACCUACGGGUGAAAGCAGUGGAUCUUCGGACCUUGCGCGAAUGAAUGAGCCGAUGUCGGAUUAGCUAGUUGGGGGGGUAAAGGCCCACCAAGGCGACGAUCCGUAGCUGGUCUGAGAGGAGGAUCAGCCACACUGGAACUGAGACACGGUCCAGACUCCUACGGGAGGCAGCAGUGGGGAAUAUUGGACAAUGGGCGGAAGCCUGAUCCAGCGAUACCGCGUGGGUGGAGAAGGCCUUCGGGUUGUAAAGCCCUUUUGUUGGGAAAGAACAGCAGUAGGUUAAUACCAAGCUGUUCUGACGGUACCCAAAGAAUAAGCACCGGCUAACUACGUG